AUAGCCUCAGUAACGGCGAGUGAAGCGGCUACAGCUCAAAUUUGAAAUCUGGCCCUCUUUGGGGGUCCGAGUUGUAAUUUGCAGAGGAUGCUUUGGCAUCGGCGGCGGUCUAAGUUCCUUGGAACAGGACAUCGCAGAGGGUGAGAAUCCCGUACGUGGGCGCCUGCCUUUGCCGUGUAAAGCUCCUUCGACGAGUCGAGUUGUUUGGGAAUGCAGCUCUAAAUGGGAGGUAAAUUUCUCCUAAAGCUAAAUACCGGCCAGAGACCGAUAGCGCACAAGUAGAGUGAUCGAAAGAUGAAAAGUACUUUGGAAAGAGAGUCAAAUAGCACGUGAAAUUGUUGAAAGGGAAGCGCUUGCAGCCAGACUUGCCCGCAGUUGCUCACCCAGGCUCUUGCCUGGGGCACUCUUCUGCGGGCAGGCCAGCAUCAGUUUGGGCGGUCGGACAAAGGCCUCUGUCACGUACCACCCCUCGGGGUGGCCUUAUAGGGGAGGCGUAAUGCGACCAGCCCGGACUGAGGUCCGCGCAUCUGCUAGGAUGCUGGCGUAAUGGCUGUAAGCGGCCCGUCUUGAAACACGGACCAAGGAGUCUAACAUCUAUGCGAGUGUUUGGGUGUCAAGCCCGGGCGCGCAAUGAAAGUGAACGGAGGUGGGAACCCUUCGGGGUGCACCAUCGACCGAUCCUGAUGUCUUCGGAUGGAUUUGAGUAAGAGCAUAGCUGUUGGGACCCGAAAGAUGGUGAACUAUGCUUGAAUAGGGUGAAGCCAGAGGAAACUCUGGUGGAGGCUCGCAGCGKUUCUGACGUGCAAAUCGAUCGUCAAAUUUGGGCAUAGGGGCGAAAGACUAAUCGAAACCA
rnacentral:rRNA from 1 species